rnacentral:rRNA from 1 species
UACGUAGGUCGCAAGCGUUGUCCGGAUUUAUUGGGCGUAAAGAGCUCGUAGGCGGUUUCGUAAGUCGGAUGUGAAAUCCCCGGGCUCAACCUGGGAAUUGCAUUCGAUACUGGAUGGCUAGAGUUCGGCAGAGGGAAGUGGAAUUUCAGGUGUAGCGGUGAAAUGCGUAGAUAUCUGAAGGAACAUCAGUGGCGAAGGCGGCAUCCUGGACCAACACUGACGCUGAGGAGCGAAAGCCAGGGGAGCAAACGGG